AAAAUUAUUGAUAGACGAGGUAGAUAAAUGGAAAAUUGAUAGAAAGUAGAAAAAUGUAAAAAUACUUACAGUAGGCACAUACAGGUUGGCCAUGUGCCAACUCGGGAUAAAAAUGAUCCCGAGUGGCGGGAUCACUUUUAAGCUUAAAGGGCCGAAAAGAUAGUUUAUUUAAAAUAUUAAAAAAUGAGCUCAAGAAAGUAUAACUAUAUCAUGCAAUUUAUUAUAACAAGUAUUAUUUUCAUAGAUUAUCUGAGUUUACAUCUUGAUUAUUGAUAAA